GAAUACCAGUCUCCUGGCGGCGGCUGGCACAGCGGAGCUGCUCUCCAAGCAGCGGGGUUCCCAGGCUGGGAAGUUUGCAUUGCCGUUUCUUUGCGGGCGGGCGGCGAGCGCCGACUGCAUGCCACCUGCGAGAGGAAGAGGCCGGUGAAGUCUCACUCUGUUGCCCAGGCUGGAGUGCAGUGGCACGAUCUCGGCUCGCUGCAACCUCCACCUCCCAGGUUCAAGCGAUCCUUCUGUUUCAGCCUCUCCAGUGGCUGGUAUUACAGGAACACACCACCAUGCCUGGCUAAUGCUUCUCUUUCUAUAAAUGAAGACGUGAGGCCGUGUAAGCUCCAAGAGAGCAGGGAUCUUGUUUGUCUUGGUCACCGUGAUAUUUCAGCUGCUGACCCAGUGCUUGAAGCAUACAAUCUGGAGUCUCCACAACUUUCUUCAUGGAACCACCACCAGGCCCCUUCUGUAGGCUUCUUAUGGAGGCUGAAGGUGUCUACAUGGCAGCAUAAAAUAGUAAUUAAGGACUCUGGAGUCACUGCCCAGGCUCAAAUCCCUGCUGCAAAUUGCGAGGUCUUUGAAGAGAAACUGAGGCCCAUAAAAUUGAAUGGCUCAUCUCAGAUCAAGUGGCCAGAUCAAUGAAGAGAAGUGUCCUUAGGUCCGGCUGCUGGUGUGAAGUAUGCUCUGGAGGUCUGACAUCCACUCUCCCUCAGACUUUCUAAUACGGCAGGAAUUCCGUCCAUGAUGUGCCAGUUCUGGUAAAUUUCCUAGCAAGCUUGAAGGAAGUGAAGGACAACUGCAAGGAAGGGCAGGAUGGAGCAUGCAGCCCACGUAUUCCCCAGCUUGGUGGGGCAGAAUGCGUUCUUGGCUCCUGAGGAAUGGGCAGGCAACGCACAGGGGUCCUGGGAAGAAAGGGAGAGAAUAUCCUGGGAGAGCCAUAGACCCUGGCACCCUCCUGUGGUCCUUCAUCAGGAUAAAUUUCUAAAAGAAGAAUUACUGGCCAAAGGAUUCCUCUUCAGUUGGAAACAGCAGCAAAGUUCACAGGUCGUGAGUGGAUGUAAAGUGGACGGAACAGGUUGUUGCCAGUCUAUUGGAGUAGGAUGGUAGAUGAGCAGUCCCGUUGGCUAACAGCUUGUUGGAAUUUAAAUACGACCAAUCAAAAUGUGUUUAGGCUUCAAAGGAAAAAGUUCUCCAUAAAUACACCAGAAUUUCAUUCUAACAUGAUUCAUUCAUUCAAAGAGCACAGCUGCACAAGGGGAAGACAGCUGCCACAUGGUAACGCAGUCCUGUAAAGAGUCCCAUGUGGUGAGAGACGUGGUUGGGAGUGAGCUUGGAAGUGGAUCCCCAACCCUCGUCCCCAAACUGAGACUUCACAUGAGACUGCAGCUCUGGCCAACAGCUUCACUGUAACCUCACAACAGACCUUGAGCCACAAGCACCCAGCUAAGCUGCAGGGAGACCCCCUGAAACUAUUGCUACGGAAUAAAAGAUGAAAUGCUCCUGAUUAUUGUAAAUACAAAGUUGCAUGCAGGAUUGUGUAAAGACAAUGCCAGGUUGGACUGCCAGAAUGAGCCAACUGCACGUGAUGUGAUUCCCCCUGCAGAGAGCCUAUGAAUGGACGUGCAGUCAGGGAGGUUUCACAUCACCAAGAUUCCUAUCCUAGAAAGGCAGAUGUUCAUAGCUCUAGGAAUGGAAUGCGACCCUUGUGGAGAGCCUAUAAACGGAUGCAUGGGGGUGGGGCGCCUGUCCAUAUGGAUAAGAUAGGGCUAGAAACGCCCUCAUCUUGCCACAGCUCUUCUAGGCCUCUUUAGGGUUAAGGCAUACUCCCUUCUGAGAAUUUCUGGUCUAACUGGUUGUCUAGCUUCACAUCCUGUUUCCGUGGAUUGUUUGUAACCAGCUUUUGUUGCAAUUGUUACUGCUGAUUAAUAUCUUGCUAAUCAUAGGUUAUGGAAAGAUUGUGCUUCUGUUUUAAGGCUCUGUUAGAAAUUACUGACGCACACACUAUAUUGUAAAUUCUUAUCUCUCUAUGCUGUACUUCUACAUACAAAUGUACUGUACUUCUACAUACAAAUGUACUGUACUUCUACAUACAAAUGUUAUGUUAAUUACUUCAUCCCCAUGUGACCAUCUCACCUCAUAAUCAAAUGACCCUAAAUCCCUCACUAACCAACCCCCACCCUCACUUAACUUAAUAAUAAACGCUGGUAUAUCCAGAGCAUUGUUGGCACCAUGGGACCAGAAGGCGGUGACCCCCCUGGACCCAGCUUUCACUAUCUUGUGUGUGUCUAUUAUUUCCCAACCUGCUGAUCUGCCUGGGAACAAAGAGAGAGCCCCAUUGCAUUGUGGGCUGCUGACCAGAUCCUGAAGAUGCAUGCAACAACGAGACAGAGAAAUUUGCUGAAAAAGCACCACAGCAGGAAACAACUAACACAUCCAAUCAUCAAAAAGAAGAAAAGACCACGCUAACUCCUUUACAACAGACAAUCCAGACAGCCAUCCUGAACAACUUGUCUCCAGCGAUCCAGGUCUGGCUCAACCUCUGCCUCCUCCUGAUGACACUGAUCCUUCUACCUCUGUUACGCCACAGACUGUUAAAAACUAUACAUAUUGGGCCUAUAUUCCUUUUCCUCCUCUUAUUCGAGCCGUGACAUGGAUGGAUGCUCCUAUCGAGGUCUAUGUUAAUGAUAGUAUUUGGAUGCCUGGUUCUCUAGAUGAUCGUUGUCCUGCACAACCUUCAGAAGAAGGAACCCCUUUCAAUAUCACUUUAGGUUUUAGGUAUCCACCUUUCUGCCUGGGACCCACUAAUGUAUGUCUCUCAUUAGAUAUUCAAACUUGGGCUGUCACACUACCGUCUGGUCACUCUGUCCCUCCUUUAGGACACUUGAUAUCAGGGCUCUCAUUAAAACCUCUAAGGCAGAUCAAAACAGUAAUCACUGAUUAUAUUCACACAUCCCAAUAUAAGCCUUUAGACCUGUGUGUCCUCUCAACUUGUCUUCAAAUGCUGACAAAAUUAAUAUGGAAAGACUGUGUUAGCUCAGAAGGAACCGUGUUAUUUAAUUCUUCUCACUACACCAUUGUUGAUUGGGCUCCUAAAGGUCAUAUUACUAAUGAUUGCUCUCAAGGUCACAGAGAUUGUCAACAUUUUCUCUAUAAUAUUACUUAUCAAAAACGUAGUGACAGCCCUCCCCUAUUAUAUCGUAGAUUUAACUCCUUUUUUCCUCUUAAGUGGAAAGGGGCAGGGGUUGCGCCUCCAAAGCCAAGGCUCAUUGUUCCCCACAUAGGACCUGAACAUUCCAAAUUAUGGAGAUUAACAAUAGCUAUGACUGGUAUGAGAGUUUGGGCUGGAGAAAGUGUUAUAAGUAAAUCCACUUUGUCACCUCAAAAUGUAUAUACUCUCUAUAUGGAGUCCAACAAAACUAUACCACUUAAAAGUUGUGUUAAACCACCAUAUAUGUUAUUAGCAGGAAAGUUGCAUAUUAGUUCAAAAACCAACAUAAUUACCUGUGUUAAUUGUUACUUGUAUACUUGUAUUGACUCAUCCUUUAAUCAAUAUCAUAGUAUUUUAAUAGUCAGAGCCAGACAAGAUAUUUGGCUCCCUGUAGCCUUACAUAGGCCUUGGGAAUCUUCCCCCUUUAUCCAUGUUAUUAACAAUAUUCUAUAGAAAAUUCUUAAAAGGAGUAAACAAUUUAUUUUUACAUUAAUUGCAAUAAUAAUGGGCUUGAUUGCUGUUACUGUGAUUGCUGCUACUGCUGGAGUUGCAUUACGUCCAUCUAUUCAAACUGUUCAUUUUGUGGAUAAAUGGCAAAAAAAUUCUACUCGGAUGUGGAAUUCUCAGGUAUUGAUCAAAAAUUGGCUAAUCAAAUUAAUGAUCUAAGACAAACUGUUAUAUGGAUGGGAGGUAGAAUUAUGAGUUUAGAACAUAGAUUACAAAUGCAAUGUGAUUGGAAUACUUCUGAUUUUUGUAUAACUCCAUUUCAAUAUAAUGAGUCUGUUCACAAUUGGGAAUCAGUAAAAUGCCAUUUACAAGGAAGUGAAGAUAAUUUAAAGCUUUAGACAUAAGCAAACUAAAAGAACAGAUUUUUGAGGCCUCUCAAGCACACUUAACUGCUUUACCCGGUGCUGAAGUUUUAGACGGUAUCUCUGAGGGAUUAUCUAAUCUCAACCCCAUUCAAUAGGUAAAAUCUUUGGGAGGAUCCACUAUCGUUAAUUUUGUUCUGUGUAUAAUUUGUACUAUUGGUUUAUUGUUCAUGUGUAAAAUUGGAAAAAAUAUUCUUCAGUCCAAUUGUGAUCAGUGCCAAGCUAUGAUUGCUAUGGUUCAUUUAAAUCAGAGAGAAGGGGGAGAUGUAAGGAGACCCCCUGAAACUGUUGCUAUGGAAUAAAAGAUGAAAUGCUCCUGAUUAUUGUAAAUACAAAGUUGCAUGCAGGAUUGUGUAAAGACAAUGCCAGGUUGGACUGCCAGAAUGAGCCAACUGCACGUGAUGUGAUUCCCCCUGCAGAGAGCCUAUGAAUGGACGUGCAGUCAGGGAGGUUUCACAUCACCAAGAUUCCUAUCCUAGAAAGGCAGAUGUUCAUAGCUCUAGGAAUGGAAUGCGACCCUUGUGGAGAGCCUAUAAACGGAUGCAUGGGGAGGUGGCUGUCCGUAUGGAUAAGAUAGGGCUAUAAACGCCCUCAUCUUGCCACAGCUCUUCUAGGCCUCUUUAGGGUUAAGGCAUACUCCCUUCUGGGAAUUUCUGGUCUAACCGGUUGUCUAGCUUCACGUCCUGUUUCCAUGGAUUGUUUGUAACCAGCUUUUGUUGCAAUUGUUACUGCUGAUUAAUAUCUUGCUAAUCAUAGGUUAUGGAAAGAUUGUGUUUCUGUUUUAAGGCUCUGUUAGAAAUUACUGACACACACACUAUAUUGUAAAUUCUUAUCUCUCUAUACUGUACUUCUACAUACAAAUGUACUGUACUUCUACAUACAAAUGUUAUGUGAAAGAAUUACUUCAUCCCCAUGUGACCAUCUCACCUCAUAAUCAAAUGACCCUAAAUCCCUCACUAACCUACCCCCACCCUCACUAAACUUAAUAAUAAACGCUGGUAUAUCCAGUGCAUUGUUGGCACCAUGGGACC
rnacentral:lncRNA from 1 species